GGGAAUCUGGAGCAGAUCCCCCGUGGUCUUCACAAACUCUUGUUCAGGAGAACAAACAGUGCAAGGUUACCUGGUGUGUUCAUGCCUCUGAAGGUAUGGGAGGUCUACAGACUGUGUAGAAAAAUGCCACUUCCAUCAGCUCACCAACUCAAAUGCGGAUUUUGGAUCUUUCUACCCAAACUCAGGAGCAAGUUUUACAAAACCAGACUCUUAAUUUGGAUGUAGAGUGCCCCCAGAAUUUUGGGGCCUCUCUUUAAAAUGAAAGAAUACCAGAAAAAGCUGAAGUUUGCCACACUGAAGUUGUUUUUCUCUCUAGGUGUGUCUUUGUUACUUGUUCACGUCUUUUGAGCAGGAACCUCAAAAUCCAGACAGACAAAUCAAACAGUGAUGACCAGGAAAAAAGCAGGAAUUUGGGGAUAGAAAGGAAGUGCAGAAAAUUCACAAGGCUGAGAUUCAUCCACUGGAUUAGAGAAUUGAACAUUCCCGAGGUGCAGAAGGCCUGAUAACACCUGGAAUACAAUCAGGCAGUUCUUCAGGACAGCUCCCCCCAAGGCAGUGUCCCCUGAGCCCUCCUUCAGCCCCAGGAACAGGCCAGUUCACAACAUUCCUGCACAAAAGGCAGCAAGCAGAUCCCAAACUUCUGAGUGAAUCCCUAAUGCUGCAAUUCCUGAAGGCAAACUGAAAUUCCGAGGUGCAGACUUUUAGUUCUGAUCUAAUCUCUGGCUGUGCAGCCUGGUGUGGAGCUGAGGGCCCUCCAGUGAGGAGCAGCAGCUCUGCACAGUGCCAGGGAUUUAUUCCAGCAGCAAUCCCACCCUGGGAACACAUUCCCAACAUCCUCAGCAGCCUCGUGCUGUCCCUGCUGUGUGGCUGACCUUGAAAAUAUUGCUCUGCGUGGCGCGGCCGAUGCCCAGGUGGAACAUUGCCCCUCUGGUCACCUCGAGGCAGUCCUCUGAAAAGCCAAACAGUGCUCUUGAAAAAGCCAAGCACACAAACAGGGGCAAGCAGAACAUCUCAGCACAUCCAAUCCAGCUGGAAUGGCCAGUGGAGAAGCUCUUUGGGUAAAUCCCACACACAAGCUGGAGAACCAGCCCAGAGGUUUUUUCUGCCUCUGUCAGGUGAAGCACAUGCAAAGACAAGACAGUUUCUAAACAAAGCCACAGAGAUGCAAAUUUACCAGGCCAGAACCAGCUGUUUUAAGCCAGAAUUUGGCAGCCAGCGGUACUCGGCCCCUUCUGGAAGGUUCCACUCCAGCCUCUCCUCUGCAGAAGCACCUUUUGUGAUCUGGAGAUGGAAAACAAGAAGGAAAGUCUGGAUGGAAGCACCAGUCAGAUGAUGGAACCUGGAGAGGGAAAAAGAGCAGAUUUCAACAAAACCUCUUCACAGAAUCCAAGAGGGGUUGUGUUGUUCUGAGACCAUUUGACUGUCAAUGCUUUGCAGUUCACCUUCAGUUUUGUUCAUAUUUUAUUCAGAGUUCUUAACUACAUCACUAUCUUUUCAUUGCUCUCUUUUAGAGAUCAGGAUGAGAGCUUGCAGAAUAAAAAAAAAAAAAAAAAAGAAAAUAAUAACAGCUUAAGCUGCCAGCAAACCAAAAUACACUCUAAAGACAUAAAAAAUUCUAUGGCAGAUUUCAGAAAUAAGCUUUAAAGGAACAAGAUAAUAAAGAUUUAAAGGAACAAGACAGCAGGUAAGGUUUUACACAGUAAUUCUUACCUGUCUAGCUGGAGCUGGAUGUAUUUCCCAAACCUGCUGCUGUUGUUAUUCCGCAGGGUGCAGGCGUUCCCUGUGAAAUUGCCAGUGGCAGACACAGAACAAUCAGAGUGGUCCCACUCUGCCAUGCAGCACAUUCAGGUAUUUAGGGUGAUCUGUAAAUAACUCCAGUAUUUGAAGAGUUUGUUUUUAAGGAGAGGACCAAGAGAUAGCUUAAACUCGUGUGGGAACAAAGGACAUUCCCACAGUGGCCAUUACUUUAGUUUGUUGUUAAAAAAGCCACGUUUACCAAAUGCUUCCAUGACAGGGUUGGAAUCCAGCACUCUCCUCUCUAUCCUUUCCACAGUUUUGGUGCCUUUUGGGGAGAUAACUGAGGCAGCAACAGAGGCAUAGAACUUCAUAAGGCAGCGAGAGGUCCAGGUCUGCAAGAGAGAGAUCUGACAGUAGCUCUUUGUUUUUAACAUGUUAUCAGUUAUGUCAGUGCUGCCUUCUGGAAACAGUGUGAAUCUGGAGGGGAGGCUAAAGAGAGGAACUGUGUCAGGUUCAGAGCUCUGGUUGAGUGGGAUCUCUGUGCCACAGACACACAUUUCAGUGCUGCAGCAGUGGGAGUGCUCUGCUGAAUGGCAAUUCCAUCGAGGUGUCGGCAUCUGGAAGCUCAGCCAGAAUUAACAGCUACUGCCUUGGGAUGGGAUGAAUGUGAAAGGAUUUUGAGUCAUUACCAUUCAGCAAAGCAUCUUGUUCUUGCUGCAUUGUCCUAAGCAGGGAUGGACCAUCACAGGAGGGCCAGGGCAGGAGCUGAAUCCACUGCUCUAAGUCUUUUCAGAGGGUUUGCUGAGACUCACACGAGCUCCCUGACAGACCAGGCUGAGGCAUUAACUCAGGUGCAAAUCCUGCUGAAUGAUUCAAACCCAGCCCUCCAGAAAUGACAUGUGUCACCUGAAGAGCUGCUAUAUUAAGCAGAGUGUGUUUAACUGCAGCAAUCACUUAAUGCUUCACACACAUUUCAAGAGAGUCGUGCUGGGCAGAUUGGCUACGUGCUGUGUCAGAGGUGUUUUUAAUUCAUCUUUGCUCAUUCUCUGCACUACAAAUCACUGGCAGAGCUCAAAACUUGAGAGCAAUGUCAUAGAAAAACAUUUCCUUACCUUCCCAGCACCACUUUCUCCACUCACAAUGAUGGACUGGUUCACAGGGUCCAUCUGCUUUUGGACAUUCCUGUAGGUUUGCUCAGCCACUGCAAAGAUGUGAGGUUUUAAAUCCUGGCAGUGAAAGAGAAUAUUCAUAUUUAAGAGUACAGUAACCACACAGUUCAACAGCAAUGGAUAGCAAGGGUCAUCUCACAUUUACCUGAAAAGAGAACUGUUCUUUUAACAGAGCUAGUAUUUCACUAGAAAUGGGGUUUAUCCUGUGGGAGUAUUUUGCUCAGAUAACCUUGGAGCAGUGUGACACCUAGGCUCUGCAGAAGGAGAGUGAUCUCAAACACAAGGGUUACCUGAGGACAAAGUGCAACGUGGUACUCCCUCAUGAGCUCAGGUGAGUAGAGGCAGGAGAAAGGCUGGAAAGGAUUUAAAGCCACCAGGCUGCAGCCAGCAUUUGUAUAGAACAGGUUGACUCUGUAUCUUGCUUGAAGACAUUUCAGAACUGAAAAGUAACACCUUCUGUCAGCAUCUUUUGCAAAGUGUGUUUGACUCUUGCUGUGCCUGUUUGUAACAAAAGUCUCAGGUGUGCUACUUAUCAGGUUAAUAGAGAAUGAGGUGAGCAAGAGAGUGAUGUAGGGGUAACAUACAUAACUCCUGUGUUCAUGGUGGUAAUGCAGUGAGAGCAGGAGCUGCCAGUGUCAGUGACCAGCAGGGAAAGGGAUCCCUCAGCAGACAUUCCCUGGCUGCUCACCUGUCCUGGUUGUCACCGGAUUCACUUUUGUGAGGUCAUCAAAAAGAUGCAGUUUCUCUUCAUCACCGAGGAAGGCUCUAACUUCUUCUUCAAAUGAUUCACUGAGGUCAUUCUGGAUGAGAGAAUCUUCCCUUUGGCCAUUUUCCUGGAGGGGAUGUCAGAUCACCACCAGUGAAAGGUCAAAAGGUGGACUUUCACCCCAUUCCCUGUUCUGGCUCCUCUGCUGCUUCCAUGUCACUGAAAUUCGGCCUCAGCAGGAGCCAGACCUCAGCAUGUGUGAGCUGCUCCUCCUCCCAGCUGCCCUCCUGCUCUGAUGUUAGAAAAGUGUUCUGGCUGUGAGCAAAGGCACCCAGAGAACGUGCCCUUGGGCUCACACUGCAGUUCUGCACAAACACACACCAAGUUCUUGCAACUGGCUCAUUUCUAAGCCUCUGCAUGUCAUGCCUUCAAUCCAAGCAGUGCCCUGGGCUCAGGGAAGCAGGAAGGGCUGGCUGCAGGUACAGCUGGAAGCCCCUGCAGGCCAAAACAAAUGCAGCUUUCCUAGCAGAGACUCUCAUUUUCAGGGUGAAUGCUGCAGAGAGCACACAUCACAGCCAGGGUAGAGGAAUGGUGCUGGGGGGAGAGCUGCCCUGCCUUAGCUGAAGUUUUGUCCCCUUUGAAUCACUGAAAAUAAUCAAAUCUCAGCCUCGGGGCUCCCAUGUCCUUGACAGCAUUAUCUGGAAGGACACACUUGUUGUAUGUAAUGGAAAACCAGCCAGAAGAGAGAUUCCAGCACCUGUUUGCCAUUUCUGGGGAAAGGAGAGGCUGGAUAAGAAAAUGAGGAAUGGAAAAGUUUCCAGUCCUGAUUUUUGCACUCUGUACACUCUUCUGAUCUCCUUCUCUUUGACAGAAAGUUCUCCAAACUCUCCCUACUUACCUGUCCCACAAGUUAACUAAUGAACAGCAUCACCUUGUUUGUACAGAAAAUGCUAAAUUUAGUUAGCAGCAUUCCCACUAUGUGAGCUGAGCUCAUUAAUAUGGGGAAAUGCACUGCAAACCCCAUUUAGCAUGUUCCUAAGGAAAAAAAAAAGCUACAAUAGUGUACUCAUUUAGGAGCAUUUUUAUCUUUUG